ACGAGUGGCGGACGGGUGAGUAACGCGUAGGAAUCUGCCUUAUAGUGGGGGACAACGUGGGGAAACCCACGCUAAUACCGCAUACGCCUUUAGGGGGAAAGCAGGGGAUCUUAGGACCUUGCGCUAUUAGAUGAGCCUGCGUGAGAUUAGCUAGUUGGUAGGGUAAAGGCCUACCAAGGCGACGAUCUCUAGCUGGUCUGAGAGGAUGACCAGCCACACUGGGACUGAGACACGGCCCAGACUCC
rnacentral:rRNA from 1 species